GGCUAGCACUAUAAAAUCGGCAUUAGUCAGGAUUAGUUCAAGCGGCCACACACACACACACACACACACACACACGUGCAUGCGCGUCGCUAUGUAAGUGAAAUAAUGGACGCUCACCUGACCCGAAAUACUGUACAAUGCAAUUCCUCCGUGCACGUAGGUAGAGGGUAAACCUUCCGUUGAAAGUCAUCAAAUCGCUCUGAGCCAAUACUAAUGUUGCUUUUCAUUAUUCACAGUAACUCGUGAGCUCUCUGCUCUUGCGUUAAUGCAGUAUUUGAGAUCAAAUUGGAAAGGGUUAUUGGCAAGAUUCAAACUGGUAGACUGUAUCUCAGGCUGUGAUUUGCAGACUUGGAACAGGCUUCUACAGAUACACUUAUGCUAAUCGUCGGUCCCGCAGGGCGCCCAUGGUAAGCAAUGCAAGUCCAGGAUCGAUUAAUCAGAAACCAGGUUUUAAGAAACCAAGCCCAAACAGCCAAUCAAAUCGCUCAACUUCAACGUAAGGCAACAUGACUGAUAUGUCCAUGGAAGUCACUGGACAUUACUACCGAGACAAAAUACUGGCGCCAAUAGUUGUGCCAUGCUGGUGCACGUUUUGUCCUUAAAGACAUCACCAGAAUGUAAUGGCCAGCCGUGAAUCCUGACCUUUCCCCGAAACAUAGAGCACGUCAGGGAUCGGGAGACUUGUACGCCGACGUCAAAGAUCACCCGCUACGUCAGUCGAACUGGGCUAGGCGUUGCAAGAGGAAUGGACAAGACUCCGUCAAAGUGUCAUUUGGAGAUCGAUUCGGACCCAUUCACGCCGAAAAAAUAAAGAUGUCUCCGCGGCCAUGCUAGCUGUGCUGUAGUAGACGUUGGCAUGUUCCUGGGGCGGCACGGAAUGAGGCCUUAGAGAACAAUGACACCGUUCCCGAUCAUACCAAUCUGUCUUCUAACUGUGGUAGUGUUUCUUGAGUCCGUCCACGGUUUGGGGCUGAUCGAGGUGAAACUCACCCACUACUCCAACCCCCGUGGGGUGACGGCGGCAGGGAGAUGCUGUGACCGCGUUCAGUCGCCACCCCCCUGUCCAACCAACCGAUGUGAUCCCUACUUCAUCAUUUGCAUCUCAGAAACCAACAAUGGAGGGGGCUGCUCGUACGCCAAGGAAGUGACGUCGUCGUUAACCAACCAGAACACAGCGACGUUCACGACGACAGUGGCAGACAAAACUAACCCGCUGUCGGCAGAGUUUACCUACUGGCAGGGCUCCUUUCUGCUGGAAGUGGAUGUGAACGACAACAACACCGACGUCACGACUAGCGACGACUACAUGGGUGGGUUCUCCUACCGCUACGUAGGUACACCAGUCUCCAGUACGUCAACUCAGGCUACGUCAAUACGUCUGACGGCUGGUGACUCCAUCUUGGACGUUGAAGUACGGGCGAGAUGUUUGAAGAAUUACUUCGGCAACUACUGUCUAAAGUACUGCAUCGACCGUGACAACGCCUUCGGCCACUUUACGUGUGACGACAAGGGCAAGGUUGUAUGCAUGUCAGGUUGGGCAGGGUCGAUGUGUACCCUGGUGUCGGCUGCCUGUACCCCCAACCCUUGCCAGAACGCAGGGACCUGCCUGGACAAACACGGUGUAGCUGUUUGCGCAUGUCGGCAAGAGUACAGGGGUAACCUUUGCGAGUUUCCUGUCACUACACCUUCAACAACUACAACUACUACUCCAACUCCUACUACUACAACCCCACCAACAACACAAUUUACAACAACAAAGGCAGUGACAAUCGAGAGUGUUGCAGUCUUGCCUCAAAGGAAGGAAUCUGUUGCAGGUGCAACAACCACUGUGGUACCCACACAGACAAGCCCACCUGUUGUAGAGGUGGUGAUAAUUGUUGCAGCUGUUGGUGCUGCACUCCUGUUGAUGUUCAUCAUGGGUGUGACCACUGCAAUAUUAUACAGGAAAUAUGUUUCAACAAAGAAAACAUCAUUCAACAAAGUGCAUCCUGGCAGGUCAAGUUUUAAAGUGAAUCGGAAACAAAACCACAUGUAACAACAGGCCCCUUUUCUUGGACUGGCCACCAUAGAAGGUGGCUUUGAGACCACAGUCCAGCUUUGUGAUGUAUCUGAUCCACUCUGGUGUCAUCACCUUCAAAUGAAGAUUAACCAUCGCACUGGACUUGAUUCAGCAUCUUACAAUCUCAGAGAAUUCAUUUUGUACCGGUGUAGGGUAGUCAAGUGGACCGUGUGUUCACUCAUCCCAUCAUGGUUGGUUCGAAUCCCACUUGGGUAAUGUGUGAAUUUGACUCCUGGUGCCACUACUACAUGGCUACAGCUUUGCUAAAUUCUGGCUAAGUCGCAUCUCUUUACAACCUUAGCGCUAAGAUUAACCUUGGUAACGGUUGUUUUGUAUAAUGGCACCAGAGGAAUACCACCAAACUAGUGCUUUAACAGACCAGCAACAGUUGUAUUUGCUUAAAUAUCUCACAAAUGGCUGUUAUUGACUUUGAAUUUAAUAUCAGUGCCAAACAUAAUAA
rnacentral:misc_RNA from 1 species